CUCCCCUACUUGCUCUGUCUGAAUAAAUAAAUAAAAUUUGAAUGUCAAAGCACUUAAAAAUUUUAAUUUGGAAUCCUUAUUGACUAGGGAUGCGGACUAAGGAAUAUCAGUGGAAAUGGGUCCAACACUUACAGACACCAAGCCACCUACCCUACCCUGCCAGGCCGCGCCCCCGGGAAGGCCAGCGAGCCUCGAGCCUCGGGUGCUUGGGUCCCCGCCGCCUCUUGUUCACCUCGCGUGUCCUCUGUGCUGUGCAUCUCACUUCCUGGAGCCGAGGACGUCUCACGCCGCAUCUGGUGACACUGCCUAUGUCGGUGCCCUGUUGGCAGGGGUCACGGCUUACGUUUGUUUCAUGUCCUCGGCCUCGACCCCCGCACCGCCUCCUUCCAGCCUCCAGAGCGGGUUCAGAAACGGUCCGCGGAUGGCAUUCGGGCCCACGUUGUACGGUGAGCCCGGGGCAGCCAUCCCCAGACAGGGACGGUGACUCGGCCGCCUCCGCCUGCAGCCCGUACAGCAGGCCCACCCUGUGUUGUGUGUCUCCUCUCCUGCCGGGGACCCACGGGGACCGCUGGUCCCCGCGCUCCGGGUCCGGCCUGGUCCCCAGCCGAGUUUAUCCAUCUCGGGGAGCCUGGGCGUGUCUCCCCGGGCUGAGCCCUGCCCACCGCCGUGAGUCCGCUCUUCCUGAACCUUCCAUGCAGGGACUCCAGCUUGCCCUUGUCUGCUUUGCUGUUCUUAAAUGACCUCCGGUGUAUUUCGAACGGAAGGAGAUGGUCAAAUGUCAGUUCGCUGCCCCUACGGUUUUCCUUAAGCAUAGUGUUCGGCCUGAAUCCCCCUGAAUCCCUGCUUCACUUGCUUCUGUGGCUGGUCACCUCUGGCGUGAGGAAGGGGCCACGUGUUCCUCCCGCCGUGGGGGUGCCUGCGACAAGCAGCCUUGGAAUGUUUACUCCCUGGAGUGUCCACUGAGCAGAAUAACGGAGACACGGAGGACGACAGAGGUGGAGAAGACCGAUACGGUUGGAUUUCGUGUUCAUGGCGCCCUCACGUUCGCCCUCCGGGAGAGCCUUCCAGAGGCCUUGGGGGUUCUCCACGCCCCAUCCUACCGGUGAGGUGACUUCCUGUUGACAGCAAGUUACCUGCACACACAGCUGAGAUUCCGGAAUAGUCGCUGUGCCGCGGCUGCGGGAUUAAUUCCCCGCAUUAGUGCCUGGUGGCUGUAAAACUGCUCAUGAAAACGAAGUGGUUGUGAGAAUCGUUUGCACGUCUAGCAGUGGACUCUGGGUAAAGACACCUGCGCCGAGUCUUGCCGUGUUAGAAGACUCCUCCCGCAUUAGAAAAAGGUUUUAAACACUGCUUCCCAUGUUCCCAGAGACUUGCUCACAAGACUAUCAAGGACAUAAAAUAGCAUUCUGUGGGAGACGAGGCCUGGAAGGAGAGUGUCUUUGGAGUGGGAGGGGUCGGUUUGACUUCUGACUCUCGGAACUUGCUAGAGAGGCAGUGUCGGCCAAAUCACUGAGUUUUUUCUGAAUUUGUUUCCCCUUGCGAAUAAAGUGUGUAUUAAUG